GAGGGUAUAGCUCAGUGGUAGAGCACAUGCUUAACAUGCAAAAGGUCCUGGGUUCAAUCCCCGGUACUUCCA
rnacentral:tRNA from 1 species